CAAAGCAGAGCAGCAGAAAGACGUGCUGAGUGUAAAGCUGUCAGCAGGGGGAAUAACACAGGGCUGUGAAUGAGUCCUGUCACUGUGAUCAGGCUCCUCCUUCUAAUCCACCAACUUAGUGUUGAUGAAGACUAAACAGAGAGAUCACAGCUUCUUUAUACUUGCUGUAGCUCACAGUUACUCUACACUGCAGAUAUGACGCCUCUGUUCAUCUCAGUGCUGCUGGCUGCUAUGUGCCUCGAAUGCAGAGCACAAAAAGACAACGUGCUGCAAGCAAAAGGAGAAGAGACUGCUGCUGCAGGAGGCACAGUAACACUUCACUGUCUCUAUAACAGCAGUGGAACAAAUAAUUAUCUCUUCUGGUACAAACAGGAUGGAAACAACAGCCCCAAAUUCAUCCUGAUGCGUAUCAGCAGGGAUGAUGGAAAGACAGCAGAAGAGUUCAAGGAGAGAUUUUCAUCCACACUGGAUUCCAGCAUCAGAUCAGUUCCUCUGAAAAUCCAGAAGCUUCAGCUGUCUGACUCUGCUGUGUACUACUGUGCUCUGCAGCCCACAGUGACAGGAAACAGCAAAACUCUGUACAAAAACCUUUGGAGCAAAGACAACAGAAUACUCCACAACAUCCACUAGAGGGAGCCACACA